AUCUUUGCUGGUGUCUCCUUACCUGAAAUCUGGGUUCAGUUUUUCACAAACCUAGAGCCUCCUUUCGCAGUCCUAGAUAUGUUUCCUUUCCUAUUCCAGGAUGAUCCGCUGCAGUAGGAACAUCCAUUCAUUUAGGGGAACUCCCACUCUCCACUAUAGCAUAUGGUCUGCCCACUCCUUCUCUCUCACCCACUGCUUAGAUAAGACACUCUCAACAGUUGACUAUGUAUUUCCUUAAGUCUGGGUUAUUCAGGGUUAACUCUCUACUGAACAAAAUCAAACAGUUCAGGUACUUCUAAACCAAUCCCAGUUUAUUCUCUUUCCAUAGUCUUUGUCUAGUGAGCAGUAAAGAUCAGAUCAGAUCCCAGAUUCUUCUUGUAUAGCCUAGCGGUAUGUAUAAUGUCUCUCAGAAACCUUAGCUUAUGUAAAAAUUAUAAAAAGAUGCCCUUUCUCUGGGAAGGCUAGCAACUCAUGGAUUGGUAAGCAGAGCACUAGCUGAUUUCUCUGCCCUUAGCCAGGUGUCCUGGAGGAGGGCCCAAUGUGUAAGCAGCUUCAUGGUGGUUCUGGUUUCCCAAAGGCUUAGUCCUGCCAAAAAUUGCAUGCCAAGGAACUUCACUAAAAAAUGUGUUCAACAUGUCACUCUGAAACAUCUGCAUUAAUAUCAUUUUAUUGGUUUGGGGCUUUCCAUGAGACUUUCCCCCAGACAACAAACAGCCUUAUAGAUCUAUGACUAAACUGGCUCACAGAGUGGUUCCUUCUAGAACAAAAGGAAGAUCUACCUCCAGGAAAAUUCCAGCUCUUAUCCUAGACUCAGAAAAUACUGAUCACUCUGAAAGGAUAGAUCCCAAUUCCAGCAGGAACUCUUUUCUAUUGGGAGAAACUCUCACAACCUUCUAUGUGCUACACAAAAUCUUUUUUUUCCCUCUGUCCUGGUUCUUGCUUUAGUCCUCAGCUAUCAAGGUUGGAGCUCAUUCCGCUAGAUAGAAAGACAUAAAUUAAAGGUCACACAUUAAGAAGUCUUGCGCUAAUGCUUUAGUGUUUAUAUGUGUAUACGUCCUUAUUUACCUGGUUUUUGUUUGUUUUUUUUUUUUUUUUUUUUUUUAAAAAAAGCACUUUCAGGGCAUUAUAUAAUGGUAAAGGGAUCAAUGCAACAAGAAGAGCUAACUAUCCUAAAUAUAUAUGCACCCAAUACAGGAGCACCUAGUUUCAUAAAACAAGUUCUUAGAGGCCUACAAAGAGACUUAUACUCCCACACAGUUGUAAUGUAAUGGGGGACUUUAACACCCCACUGUCAAUAUUAGAUCAAUGAACAGAUCAAUUAAUUAAUGAAGAAAAAUUAACAAGGAUAUUCAGGACUCAAACUCAGCUCUGGACCAAGUGGACCUAAUAGACAUCUACAGAACUCUCCACCCCAAAUCAACACAAUAUACAUUUUUCUUAGUGCCACAUAGCACUUUAUAAAAUUGACCACAUAAUUGGAAGUAAAACACUCCUUAGCAAAUGCAAAAGAAUGGAAAUCAUAACAGUCUCUCAGACCACAGUGCAAUCAAAUUAGAACUCAGGAUUAAGAAACUCAGUCAAAACUGCACAACUACAUGGAAAUUGAAACAACUUGCUCCUGAAUGACUACUGGGUAAAUAACAAAAUUAAGACAGAAAUAAAGAAGUUUUCUGAAACUAAUGAGAACAAAGAGACAAUGUACCAGAAUCUCUGGGACACAGCUAAACCAGUGUUAAGGGGGAAAUAUAUAGCACUAAAUGCCCACAUCAGAAAGCUGGAAAGAACUGAAAUUGACACCGUAACAUCACAAUUAAAAGAACUAGAGAAGCAAGAGCAAACAAAUUCAAAAGCUAGCAGAGUACAAGAAAUAACUAAGAUCAGAGCAGAACUGAAGGAGAUAGAGACACAAAAACCCUUCUAAAAAAUCAAUGAAUCCAGGAGCUGGGGAUUUGAAAAGAUUAACAAAAUAGUUAGACUGCUAGCUAGACUAAUAAAGAAGAAAAGAGAGAAGAAUCAAAUAUACACAAUAAAAAAUGAUAAAGGGGAUAUCACCACUGAUGCCACAGAAAUACAAACUACCAUCAGAGAAUACUAUAAACACCUAUGUGCAAAUAAACUAGAAAAUCUAGAGGAAAUAGAUAAAUUCCUGGACACACACAACCUCCAAAGACUAAAUCAGGAAGAAGUUGAAUCUUUGAAUAGAUCAGUAACAAGUUCUGAAAUUGAGGCAGUAAUUAAUAGCCUACCACCUCCACCACCACCACCAACAACAACAAAAAAGCCCAGUACCAGACGGAUUCAUAGCCAAAUUCUACCAGAGGUACUAAGAGGAGCUUGUACCAUUCCUUCUGAAACUAUUCCAAACAAUAGAAAAAGAGAGAUUCCUCCCUAACUCAUUUUAUGAGGCCAGCGUCAUCCUGAUACCAAAACCUGGCAGAGAUGCAACAAAAAAAGAAAAUUUCAGGCCAAUAUCCCUGAUGAACAUUGAUGUGAAAAUCCUCAGUAAAAUACUGGCAAACUGAAUCGAGCAGCACAUCAAAAAGCUUAUCCACCACGAUCAAGUCGGCUUCAUCCCUGAGAUGCAAGGCUGGUUCAACAUAUGCUAAUCAGUAAACAUAAUGCAUCACAUAAACAGAACCAAUGACAAAAACCACAAGAUUAUCUCAUAGAUGCAGAAAAGGCCUUUGAUGAAAUUCAACAUCCCUUCAUGCUAAAAACUCUCAAUAAACUAAGUAUCGAUGGAACGUAUCUCAAAAUAAUAAGAGCUAUUUAUGACAAACCCACAGCCUAUAUCAUACUGAAUGGGCAAAAGCUGGAAGCAUUCCCUUUGAAAACCAGCAGAAGACAAGGAUGCCCUCUCUCACCACUCUUAUUCAACAUAAUAUUGGAAGUUCUGGCCAGGGCAAUCAGGCAAGAGAAAGAAAUAAAGCGUAUUCAAACAGGAAGACAGGAAGUCAAAUUGUCUCUCUUUGCAGAUGACAUGAUAGUAUAUUUAGAAAACCCUAUUGUCUCAGCCCCAAAACUCCUUAAGCUGAUAAGCAACUUUAGCAAAGUCUCAGGAUAAAAAAUCAAUGUGCAAAAAUGACAAGCAUUCCUAUACACCAAUAGUAGACAAGCAGAGAGCCAAAUUUUGAGUGAACUCACGUCAAAAUUGCUACAAAGAGAAUAUAAUAUGUAGGAAUACAACUUACAAGGGACAUGAGUGACCUUUUCAAGGAGAACUACAAAUCACUGCUCAAGGAAAUAAGAGAGCACACAAACAAAUGGAAAAAAAUUCCAUAUUCAUGGAUAGAAAGAAUCAAUAUCAUGAAAAUGGCCAUACUGCUCAAAGUAAUUUAUAGAUUCAAUGCUAUUCCCAUCAAGCUACCAUCGACUUUCUUUGCAGAAUUAGAAAAAAGCUACUUUAAAUUUCAUAUGGAGCCGAAAAAGAGUCAGUUUAGCCAAGACAAUCCUAAGCAAAAAUAACAAAGCUGGAGGCAUCAUGCUACCUGACCUCAUGCUAUACUACAAGGCUACAGUAGCCAAAACAGCAUGGUACUGGUACCAACACAGAUAUAUAGAACAAUGGAACAGAACAGAGACCUCAGAAAUAACACCACACAUCUACAACCAUCCAAUCUUCGGCGAACCUGACAAAAACAAGCAAUGGGGAAAGUAUUCCUUAUUUAAUAAAUGGUGUUUGGAAAACUGGCUAGUCAUAUGCAGAAAACUGAACCUGGACCCCUUCCUUACACCUUAUACAAAAAUUAACUCAGGAUGGAUUAAAGAAUUAAUUGUAAAACCCAAAACCAUAAAAACCCUAGAAGAAAACCUAGGCAAUACCAUUUAGGACAUAGGCAUGGGGAAAGACUUCAUGACUAAAACACAAAAAGCAAUUGUGACAAAAGCCAAAAUUAACAAAUGGGAUCUAAAUAAACUAAAGAGCUUCUGCACAGCAAAAGAAACUAUCAUUAAAGUGAACAGGCAACCUACAGAAUGGGAG
rnacentral:lncRNA from 1 species